AUGGAACUCUCGGAAUUCUUCUCUCCCGUCAACGACCCGGCGGCAAUCUCACGCAGCGGCCUCCUUGGUAUAAUUGACGACCACUGUAAUGGCCUUGUCUUGAUUAAAUACGUUGACCACUAUGUGAUGAAUCCUAUCACACUACAAGGGGUGCUUUUGCCCCCGCCGCCGCCCCCGUCGACGGAGAUGAAGGACUUCUACCAAAAUGGGGCCAAGUAUCUUGUGUUUGAUCCCACUGUCGCGCCAGACUAUGAGGUCUUCUUGAUUCCCCAUGUUCCAGGGAGAGAUAGGUUGGGUCUUUUGUCGCUGGAAUUGGAAUGGCCACCAUCGCCAUUUAUCUUGUCAGUUUAUUCAUCAACAAGUAAGCAUUGGGAGCAGAGGCCCUUUGUUCGGAAAGGGGACGCCAUAGGGUCUAUUGGUCAUAUUCUACAAAGUGAAAAAGAGAGAGAGAAGCACUACGGUGUUUACCUGCGUGGAGCACUUUAUGUGCAUUGCCAGAAUGAUUAUUUCUACAAAAUAUCACCCUCAAACGGCGAGUACCAAGUAAUCAAGCCACCGCCAGGUAUUGAGACAAGCAAUCACCGUCAAGUUUAUUUGGGGAAAUCAUGGAACGAGGUGCGUUGUGCCAUAGUAGACUGUUCGUACGAACUCCGGGUUUGGAUCAUGGAUGAAUCUCACGGACAAUAUGAAUGGGUCUUGAAGCAUCAUAUUGACAUUCUGCAUCUGAUGCAGAGACAAGACAAUCUACAAGUCGACGGCCCAUGGUCUUCACAAGAAUAUUAUUAUGAUGAUGCUGGCCAUGAUCACAUGAAGAAAGCACCACAAGAGUAUUGUUAUGAUUACUUUAGCAUACACAAUGAGGAAGGACCAGCCGCUGAGGGAACUCGACUUGCUUUUCUCGGAUUCCAUCCUUUCAACAAAGAUGUCGUCUUCUUGACGGACACAUCAGAACAAGGAUUUGCCUAUCAUCUUGAGAGCUCUACAGUUGAGCACUUAGAAAAGCUAAACCCAAUGACCAAAUCUGUCUAUUACAACCCCCGAACAUUUGUAGAAGUGUCUUUUCCUUUCACGCCUUGUUUGACAGGAGAAUUAUCGUAA
rnacentral:rRNA from 1 species